GAUUAACGCUGGCGGCGUGCAUAACACAUGCAAGUCGAACGAUGAAACUUAAAUGAUUUCUUCGGAAUGAACUUAAGUGGAUUAGUGGCGGACGGGUGAGUAACGCGUGAGUAACCUGCCUUACACAAGGGGAUAGCCGUUGGAAACGACGAAUAAUACCCUAUGAAACUAUCACUUCGCAUGAAGCGAUAGUCAAAGUGUUAGCGGUGUAAGAUGGACUUGCGUCUGAUUAGCUAGUUGGUGAGAAAAAAGCCCACCAAGGCAACGAUCAGUAGCCGGCUUGAGAGAGUGUACGGACACAUUGGGAAUGAGACACGGCCCAGACUCCUACGGGAGGCAGCAGUGGGGAAUUUUGCACAAUGGGGGAAACCCUGAUGCAGCGACGCCGCGUGAUUUAGAAGGCCUUCGGGUUGUAAAAAUCUUUUGUAUAGGAAGAAAAUGACAGUACUAUACGAAUAAGGUCCGGCUAAUUACGUG
rnacentral:rRNA from 1 species